rnacentral:snRNA from 2 species
GUCCCUUCGGGGACAUCCGGUAAAAUUGCGACGAUACAGAGAAGAUUAGUAUGGCCCCUGCGCAAGGAUGACACGCACAAAUCGAGAAAUGGUUCAAAUUUUU